UGGCCGUCCGAGUUGUAAUCUAGAGAAGUGUUACCCGCGUCGGACCGUGUACAAGUCUCCUGGAAUGGAGCGUCAUAGAGGGUGAGAAUCCCGUCUUUGACACGGACUACCGAGGCUUUGUGGUGCGCUCUCAAAGAGUCGAGUUGUUUGGGAAUGCAGCUCAAAAUGGGUGGUAAAUUCCAUCUAAAGCUAAAUAUUGGCGAGAGACCGAUAGCGAACAAGUACCGUGAGGGAAAGAUGAAAAGAACUUUGGAAAGAGAGUUAAACAGUACGUGAAAUUGCUGAAAGGGAAACGCUUGAAGUCAGUCGCGUCGUCCGGGAAUCAGCCUUCCUUCUGGUUGGUGUACUUCCUGGUUGACGGGCCAGCAUCAGUUUUGACCGGUGGAAAAAGUUCAAGGGAAUGUGGCACCUUCGGGUGUGUUAUAGCCCUCGUUCGUAUACAUCGGUUGGGACUGAGGAACUCAGCACGCCGCAAGGCCGGGAUUCGUCCACGUUCGUGCUUAGGAUGCUGGCAUAAUGGCUUUAAUCGACCCGUCUUGAAACNCGGACCCAAGGAUCUAACAUGCCUNCCAGUAUUUGGGUGGAAAACCCGAGCGCGUAAUGAAAGUGAAAGUUGAGAUCCCUGUCAUGGGGAGCAUCGACGCCCGGACCUGACGUUCUCUGACGGUUCUGCGGUAGAGCAUGUAUGUUGGGACCCGAAAGAUGGUGAACUAUGCCUGAAUAGGGUGAAGCCAGAGGAAACUCUGGUGGAGGCUCGUAGC
rnacentral:rRNA from 1 species